UACGAGGGGGGCGAGCGUUGUUCGGAAUUAUUGGGCGUAAAGGGUGCGUAGGCGGUUUGGUAAGUCUUGUGUGAAAUCUUCGGGCUCAACUCGAAGUCUGCACGAGAAACUGCCGGGCUUGAGUAUGGGAGAGGUGAGUGGAAUUCCUGGUGUAGCGGUGAAAUGCGUAGAUAUCAGGAGGAGCACCUGUGGCGAAAGCGGCUCACUGGACCAUAACUGACGCUGAUGCACGAAAGCUAGGGGAGCAAACAGG
rnacentral:rRNA from 1 species